UACGUAGGGUGCAAGCGUUGUCCGGAAUUAUUGGGCGUAAAGAGCUCGUAGGCGGUCUGUUGCGUCGGCUGUGAAAACCCGGGGCUCAACCCCGGGCCUGCAGCCGAUACGGGCAGACUAGAGUUCGGCAGGGGAGGCUGGAAUUCCUGGUGUAGCGGUGAAAUGCGCAGAUAUCAGGAGGAACACCGGUGGCGAAGGCGGGUCUCUGGGCAGUAACUGACGCUGAGGAGCGAAAGCGUGGGGAGCGAACAGG
rnacentral:rRNA from 1 species